CGCCGGUGGGCCUGAGGGGAUCGAGGACAGAAUGGUUCGUACCUUUUCAUACCAUCAUCUAUUUGUUCUUCUAGGGUUUUGAAGUCUCUAGAUUGUUUGUCAAUUUCGUGUUUUUUAGUAGAUAGAACCCUGUGAAUCUGAUAAAGCCAUUAAUUUCAAGCUCAUUUUAUGCAAUUAAUUAACUAAUCACUUUUGAGAUUAUUCUUGAAUUAGCACCAAAUUUAGCACAAAUUUUAGUUAAUUGAAAUAUGGUGAAUACUUGAUAGUUGUCAUAGACUACGCUUUUUAGCUAUUUUCUUCGGCCAUACAUUGGUAGAUUUUGCUUGUAGUUUCACAGCCAAAGCAUAAGUAAUGAAAUUACUGCUUCCAGGAAAUAAUUUGAGAUGUUUGGAGAUUAUAGAAGGUAUGGAAGGAGUAGGAGCACUUAGAGCAGCUUGCAAAAUUUUCAAUUUCUAAUUAAUUGAAUAGCAAGGCUCAUGCAAAUAAUUACUGUGAAAUGCACUUAGGCAAAUUGAUCUUUCUGAUUUAUUUCUUUAUAUAGGAGUAUAGUUUCUUGGCUAACAUAUCUUCAUUACCAAAUGAAUUGUGGAUUCUAUGGACUUAAGGAUACAAUAAAUAAGCAGGAAACUCUCUCUCUCCUUUUGUCAACUUUAAGCUGUUUGAGAAUCUCAUUUUUCUUUAUAUUUGUAAAGGAAUACAGUUGUUUAGUUCUUUAUAUUUGUUCUCUCUGCAUUUUGGUAUGCAAUACUUUUAUUUUUGUUGAAUUUUUACUAACGAGGACUGUCACAGACGGAUGGUUCAUUUCAUUCACCAGAGUGGCAUGUUGUUUUUAUGUUGUCUUAGAUUUUAUACAUGCAACUUAUUUCAAUCUUUCACUAGGUAGGUUGGGUAAUGUCAAAUUGUCAAAGAAUGCGAUGUACCCAUAACUUGCAUUACUACGUCCUCUAGUGGCACUUGUAAAUAUAUAAGUAAAGUGUUAUUGAUCUAUUUAUUACUUUACAAUUACUAUGCCGAAGGACUACUUGAUACGAGAAGUGAAUGUGAUGUCUAGAUGAGUUUCAUGCUACUCGGAAAAUUCAAGUCUUGAAUACACUGAUAUUGUCAUCUUGUUCACAUUCAUAUAAAUAAUCCUGUUUUUGUAAUCUCAGUAUGCUAAAGUGGAUCUUUCAUAAUUGUGAUUCCGUCUUAUUUGUGUCUUAAAGAUGAAUGCAAUUCUUUAUAGCAAAACUCUUACUAGUUUUCAUCUUUAUCUCGAUCUUUUCUAGGAGAAAGAGUUUUGACCUUCUUAAUUUGCAUGGUUUUGAACUGUAUGACCAAAUAAACGGUAGGUCUUUGUACUUGCCAAGUGCCAUUAAGCAUUACUUGAUCCUUUAUAGGGCACGUAACUAACCAUAGCAUUGAACUGUGUGGGAAAUAUUGUUUUCCUGGUGGAGUUUAUCUUCGCUUUUAAUACUUCAUAAUUAACACAUUUAGAUGGAAAGAGGUUUGAAUGUCAAUAAACGCAUAUGAAGAUCACAACUUGUACAUAUAGUGGUUAAAGAAACAUCCACAAUGAUGUUACGUGAGUUUUUUGAUCCUUUCUUCAUGAGUUACUUGUAACUUCUUGAAGAUACAAAAUAAGUGCACUGUCUAUUCCCUACGCAGAAAAAGCAACAACACAUGCCCAUAUGCUUGUUUUCAGGCCAGGCUAGCAUGGGUCUGGUUUUACUUGCACAACAGAAGAUCUAUGCAAGUUUUCUGUUAAUUUCAUAACUUAUCAUCGAGCUCCCGUGGCUGUUUUUUGGUUGUUAUUUGUGCUCGUCGUCGAGCUCCCGUGGCUAUGUUGUUGGUUGGAUGGUUGGUUGGUUGAUGUUGUUGGUUGGCCUGGUUGUGAGCCUGGUUCUGUUUUGUGCAGCCUCCUUUGUGUUCAGGUUUUCUAAGGUGUCCGUGCUCAGUUUUGUGUUCGUGAGAUUUGUUUUCAGGCACUGUUUUUUUGGGUUGUAAGUUUUCAUGAAACAAUUCUACAUUGGUGACUAUUUACUUUUAGGCUAUGAUGAUUUUCAUUAGAUCUGAGAUUAGCAACCUGCAAUAUCUACUGAUAUUGUACUGGAUGGCUAACAAUGAUGAUAUUGACCAAAUUCUGAGCCCUCAUCCAUAACCAGUAAACAACUCUUGAUUACUUGAUGUUUUCCUGAUUGGUUCUUGAUGUUGUUGGUGUGCAUAUGCUUUGUGACCAUUACUAUCUGUUUGCGUUCAGUUUGGUGUGCAUAUGCUGUUUUUCUGAAUUUUUUCUGCUCAGUUUUUUAUGGGCACAUAUUGCCUCUAUAUGUUGGUUGGCUGGUGGUGUUUUUGCCUGGUUGGUUGGCUGGUUGUGAGUCUGGUUGUGAGCCUGAAAAGGCACAUGUUAUUACAAUUUCACUCCUGGUCGGCACAUGUUAUUGGUUGGCUGGUUGUGUUGUUUGUUGGUUGGUUGGUUGUGAGCUUGGUUGUGGGCACAUGUUAGUGUUGUUUGUUGGUUUUGAUACCAUCAGAGGUUCUUGAAUGCCCUGAUUACUUGAUGUUGUUUGUUGGUUCUUGAUGUUGUUGGUGUGCAUAUGCUUUGUGACCAUUACUAUCUGUUUGCGUUCAGUUUGGUGUGCAUAUGCUGUUUUUCUGGAUUUUUUCCUGCUCAGUUUUUUGUGGGCACAUGUUAGUGUUGUUUGUUGUUUUUGAUAUCAUCAGAGGUUCUUGAAUGCCCUGCAACAGCUCGGUGUAUCUCACGUUGGGAUGCCGAAGCAGAUCAGGGAGCUGAUGAAGGUUGAUGGACUCACCAAUGAUGAAGUGAAGAGCCAUUUGCAGGUGAUUCUUGCUUCCUUUUUUAUAGAUUUUUAUGACUUGAGACUUAAAUACAAAUGGAAAUAUAUGUAAGUUUAUAUUGUGA